rnacentral:rRNA from 1 species
CAAUAGCGUAUAUUAAAGUUGUUGCAGUUAAAAAGCUCGUAGUUGGAUUUUGGGAUUUUGGUGGGUCCGGUCUGCCGGGAUGGUGUGUACUGAUCCGCCAGUCCUUCCUUCCAGUUUGCUACCGUGUGCUCUUAACUGAGUGUGCGGGUUUCAGCUCUGGAUCGUUUACUUUGAAAAAAUUAGAGUGUUCAAAGCAGGUACUUUUGCGCCUUGAAUACAUUAGCAUGGGAUAAUAGAAUAGGACUUUGCUUCUAUUUUGUUGGUUUCUAGAAGACAGAGUAAUGAUUAAUAGAGAUAGUUGGGGGUAUUCAUAUUUAAUUGUCAGAGGUGAAAUUCUUGGAUUUAUGAAAGAUGAACUUCUGCGAAAGCAUUUAUCAAGGAUGUUUNCAUUAA